UUUCAUGUGAGGCAACGUCUUCUUGGGCAUCGGAUGGUACUUGAUCGUGGGGUGCUCGUGGUGAGGCAUCGGGGACGGCUUGUAGACCGGCGCAGCAGGUGGGUUAUAGUAUCCCCCUGACGGCGGCUUGUGCAUCGGCGCAGGUGGUUGGUAGUAUCCCCCUGACGGCGGACUGUGCACCGGCGCAGGUGGUUGGUAGUAUCCCCCCGACGGUGCCUUGUGCACCGGCGCAGGUGGGUUGUAGGUAGGGGGGCUGUAAACUGGGUGUGGGUGGUAGUGAGACUUGGGUGGGAAUUUGUAGUGUGGCAUAUGUAACUUGGGGUGCUUCUUUUUCCAUGCCAGCGGAGGGCAGGGGUAGAAGGUGGCCGACGCGCAGGUGGCCGACGAGAACGACAGCUUCCCGGACGCCGCAACGAACGU
rnacentral:lncRNA from 1 species